GUUUAAAAUUAGACUACUGAAUCAUUAUUCUGUACGGGCUCUAUUACGCGUAAACACUGUAUAUCCAUUUAGAGGAUCGGGCUCUGAAUGCCUAUUCAAUGCCUCUCAUAAUAGCUUUUUUUUUUCAAACGAAAAUUUUCUCCCACCUUUGCUCAGCAUUCUGGUAACAAUAGCAAGAGAUCUUCUUGGGUUUUGCAUAAAAUGCAUAGAAGACUCUCUGCUUUUGGAUUUUGUGUGUGGAGAAUUUGCGCAUGGUGGAAAAUAUGGAGAAAUCGAUGUCGAAGGCGGAGCUUUCCAAAGAAAUGAGCUCAUCUCCCACCGUGCAUCCCACCGAUUGUGAGAACGGCGAGGCUCCGAUCAAUUAUCAACAAUUGUUAUCGUUAUUGCUGACUUUUGGAUGGAUCGAAUCUUCAGAUCACACUAUCCAUCGAUGUUGGUAGUUCUUAUGCUCCUUAGGGUUGUGGCAUGUAUAUAUAUGGCUAUAUAAGUUGUGAAGGUACAUUUUGACAAAAUACUAAACUAAGUUGUUAGACACUUUACUAAGGUUGUAAAUAGAUAUCUUUUUGGUACAAUUAGAAUGGUAUGAAAGUAUACACUUGUGGUUUAUUUUGGCUUGUUGGUGAAUUAAGUUGCUGUGCUAGAAAUGUUCUUAAUUGUUAUAUGUUAAGAUGAUAUGGAACUAGAUGUGUAUGUUGGAAGUAAGGUUAAGUAUGCAUAUGUUUUGGUAAGUUUGUUUGAUUGUGAUUGAGGUGCCUUAUAAGGCACAUUGGUUGAAUGGAUUUUGGAUCCUUUGAAUGGGUUAAAUUAAACAUGUUUUGGUAGGUUUUUGGUGCAUUGAUUAUAUCUAUAUAUGUCUUGUAGGUACUUGUUGGAAUUGGUGAAAGAAAUGGCUUGAUUUUGACUAAUUUCUUGUCCACAUGGCCGUGUGUCCCCUAUAGGUUUUAAAGGUUGCACGUCAAGCAGUUACACGACCUAGCACAUGGCCUAGAAUACGGACGUGUGACUUGGCCGUGUGACCCAGGUCAGAGAGUUACACAAGCACAGACACGAGCUGGGACAUGGUCAUGUGUCCCUAUUUUGAUUGUUACACGGCCAUGUGACCCUUGCAGUUUGAAUUUUUCUAACUUUUUCCUCAGUGUUUCAAAUGUUCUCGAUUUAGUCCCGAAUCAUUUCUAAAGUGAUUCUAAGGCCUCGAGGGCUCGAAUAAGGGACGAUAUGCAUGUAUAUUAUUAAGUUCUGCUAUGUUUAUUGAAAUGUUUGCAAAUGAAUGGUUUUAAGUUACAUUUAUUUGGUAAUACUCUGUAACUCUAAUCCGGCGACAGAUACGAGUUAGGGGUGUUACAAAAAUACUCUCAAUCAUUAUUUCAAGGCUCUUGAAGCUGAUAUUCAUUUUGCCAAUACCCUGUAAUUUCUUCUUUCUUUUUCUCUUCGUUGAUUUUCUAUAGAUGAGCAUGGCCAUUACUAAUUCAUCAUAAUUUUAUUUAUUUAUUUAGUUUUUUCUAUAGAUAGUAAGGGAUUUCAAUUUUAGGUUGGGAUUUGUUGGGACUGUAUCUGUAAAGGCUACACUUUUUUUCUAUUCGCUAAUUUCUCUAUCAGUGCAUCAGUGAUUUCCCUUUGGAUUCUUCUCUUGAUUUGGGGCUUUUAUUUGGUAAGUUUAAUUUUUAAUUUUGGCUUUUUUUUUGUUUGUUUUGGGUUUGAAGUUCAAUAACAUUUCGAGUUUGUAAUGAAAAAUAUGUAUAGAUAUCAUUGUAGGCUAUGUUUUAUUUUGCUAGUGUUAAGGGAGUUUUUGGGGCUAACCAUUCAUGGAUAUCCUAGGAAUAUAGAUUAAAGGUGUUGUUGCUGAAAUCUAGAAGGACAAAAACACUCCUCUUGUGCAAAAGUUUUUUCUUUUUCCCUUCCAUCUGUAAAUGCAUACUAACUUGCAAACUUGUUGUGUUAUUGUUUUUGCUCUGUUUAUUUUUAUUUUUGGUUAAAUGUUGUGUUCUUUGCUUAAAUUAAAACAUUCAAUACUUCUCUCGUUGAUAACUUAAAUCCUGGCUUAGAGGGUGUGAUGUAUAACACAUUACAAACAAAAAUACACGCACUCUCAAAUAUGAUUCAAGUUGAAAUUUUUACCAUCUUAAUCACAAAUGUUUGCAAUUUGCUAAAAUCAAGCCAACACACAAGACGUCUAUUAUGUUCAUCCAAACUUGGAAUAAACUCUUGCUGUGACUAUGAUACAAUUAACCUCCAGAAACCUUUAUGAUUGCCCAUAUCAGUGACAAUAAAAAACUGUCCUUUUCUUUUUUUUUUUGGAAAAAAGAAAUGAGUCUGAUUUUACUUGCAUGCUUCUCAGCUUGAAACCCUCACCCGUUUUCUAUGUUCUUUUCUCUCCUAGUACUAAUUGUAUGCAAUUCUAAUAUCCUCUGUGGCACAAACAUUCAAGAUGGUUGGGAUCAAAUAGUUGUAUGUAAUGUGAAACCCUAUUCUUUUCAGAGAGAUGGGAAAGGAAAUCUUUGACUGCACAUGUAAUACAACUUACAUAAUGUAUUAAUAACUUUGCCUCUAUUGGUUAUCAGAUGAAAUUUACUUUGCAUGUUGCAUAUUACCAUGCCAUCUGAAAUUAAUAUCUUUAUCUUUUGUUCUUUUUACAGCUGUUCACCGCAAAGUAUUCUCUAAUAUGCAAAAUUUCAGAUUAUAAGAAGCUUUGUAGAGUAUUCUCUAUAUUGGGUAUAGUUUUUAGUUAUAGUAUGUAUUUAGUAUUUAAAGAUAAAGAUAUACAUUGAUUUUAUAUGUAAAAGUAGGUUUCUCAACUUCCCAAUGAAAAAAAGACAGUUUAUGGAGCAUUGGACAAAUGGGUAGCUUGGGAGACUUGAGUUUCCAUUGAUUGUAGCUACAAAAGCUUUACAAAUUUUCAAGAAGAGGAGCCAAUGGUUGCGUGUUAUUCAAGUA